CGGAGGGUGCAAGCGUUAUCCGGAUUCACUGGGUUUAAAGGGUGCGUAGGAGGGCAGGUAAGUCAGUGGUGAAAUCUCCAAGCUUAACUUGGAAACUGCCGUUGAUACUAUCUGCCUUGAAUACCGUGGAGGUGAGCGGAAUAUGUCAUGUAGCGGUGAAAUGCUUAGAUAUGACAUAGAACACCAAUUGCGAAGGCAGCUCGCUACACGAAUAUUGACUCUGAGGCACGAAAGCGUGGGGAUCAAACAGGAUUAGAUACCCUGGUAGUCCACGCCCUAAACGAUGGAUACUCGACAUACGCGAUACACAGUGUGUGUCUGAGCGAAAGCAUUAAGUAUCCCACCUGGGAAGUACGACCGCAAGGUUG
rnacentral:rRNA from 1 species